rnacentral:rRNA from 1 species
AUUGAACGCUGGCGGCAUGCCUUACACAUGCAAGUCGAACGGCAGCACGGGAGCAAUCCUGGUGGCGAGUGGCGAACGGGUGAGUAAUAUAUCGGAACGUGCCCAGUCGUGGGGGAUAACGUAGCGAAAGCUACGCUAAUACCGCAUACGAUCUAUGGAUGAAAGCGGGGGAUCGCAAGACCUCGCGCGAUUGGAGCGGCCGAUAUCAGAUUAGGUAGUUGGUGAGGUAAAGGCUCACCAAGCCGACGAUCUGUAGCUGGUCUGAGAGGACGACCAGCCACACUGGGACUGAGACACGGCCCAGACUCCUACGGGAGGCAGCAGUGGGGAAUUUUGGACAAUGGACGCAAGUCUGAUCCAGCCAUUCCGCGUGCAGGAUGAAGGCCCUCGGGUUGUAAACUGCUUUUGUACGGAACGAAAGGUUUGUCUUAAUACGAUGAGCUCAUGACGGUACCGUAAGAAUAAGCACCGGCUAACUACGU